CGGGUGGGUUAUCAGCGUUCGCUAAGCCUGCUUGUCGUGAGGGGUUAAGCCCUCGGCGACCGGCUCAGUAACAUGCGGUCAACCUGCCCUAAAGUAGGGGAUAACUUCGGGAAACUGAGGAUAAUACCCUAUAGGUCUAGAGUCCUGGAAUGGACCUUGGCCUAAAGCUUCGGCGCUUUAGGAUGGGACCACAGCCUAUCAAGCUGUUGGUGGGGUAACGGCCCACCAAACUUGUGACGGGUAUGGGUCUUGAGAGAGAUAGCCCAGAGUUGGGGACUGAGACAAGGCCCCAGGCCCUACGGGGUGCAGCAGGUGCGAAAACUCCACAAUUCUCGAAAGAGAGAUGGGGGAACUCCGAGUGCUAAUCCUUUGGGUUAGCUUUUCUGAAGUUCAAAAAGCUUCAGGAAUAAGGGCUGGGCAAGAUCGGUGCCAGCAGCCGCGGUAAUCCCGGCGGCCCAAGUGGUGGCCACUUUUACUGGGUUUGAAGCGUCCGUAGCUGGACCAGUCCGUCCUUGGUUAAAUCCUCGGGCUCAACCCGAGGGCUGCUGAGGAUACUACUGGUCUCGGGACCGGGAGAGGGUAGGGGUACUUCAUGUGUAGGGGUAAAAUCCGUUAAUCCGUGAAGGACCACCUGUAGCGAAGGCGCCUACCUGGAACGGGUCCGACAGUGAGGGACGAAAGCCAGGGGAGCAAAUCGGAUUAGAUACCCGAGUAGCCCUGGCUGUAAACGAUGCGAACUAGGUGCAGCGCACCCUUCGUGGAGUGCGCGGUGCCGCAGAGAAAUCAUUAAGUUCGCCACCUGGGGAGUACGAUCGCAAGAUUGAAACUUAAAG
rnacentral:rRNA from 1 species